AGGGGUGUAGCUAAGUGGUAGAGCACUUGCCCAACAUACAUGAGGCAUUAGGUUCAAUCCCCAACACCACCA
rnacentral:tRNA from 1 species